CCCGCUGAUGCUGGCCUUGGCUCUGCAGCUUUUCUCAGCCAAAAGUGGACACCAUCCACCAGCAGCUGCACUAGACAGGCACUCCAUCUCCACCUGCAUUACACCAGGAGGACUGCAGCUCUAUCACUGCAUGCCAGAACAAGGCCAUUUUAACCCCUGCAGCCAGCCCACCGCAGUGCUGACUCUCCUUUUUCUCCCACCUGAAUGUCAACCAGGUCAUGGAGUUUGUGUCAAAAGCCAAGACCUCAAGUAGCAAACUGGACCGAAUGCAUACUGCCCUGAGCCUACCACAGCACCGAGACUGCCCUCACCUAAAUCUUCAAAGACCUUUGCAUAGCCUCCACCAACGGCCCCAUCAGCAUAUGGAAAGAUCAGAAAGAUCUUUGCAGGUCUUCACCUUGAUGUGGAUGGCUGUAUCAUCAUGCCAUUCCCAGAGGGUUACCAUCCCCCCCUGGCUUCCCUCCCUCUCCACCACCG